rnacentral:lncRNA from 1 species
GUACAGGUGUAACAUUGUCGGUAGGGUGUGGCCGUAUGAUGGACAACAGACAACUCUCCUGCCUGCCUGAUGAAUACAGCGAUGUGAACCACAGAUGAAACAAGUUGACGAAAGCAUUUAUGGGCAAAAACCUCUAUAUGAAUGAAUGUGUUUGUGCAGUGCAACACAACACAAUGGCCACACACCAGGGUGUGGACACUUCCAUGCUCCGUAGCGCCAUCUGACGUCACUGCAACAUCGAUCACCUAUGCUCAACGCUGUGUUCAAUGGUAACGGACCGUCAGUGUGUUUUUUCCUGUAAAACCUGAAGGCAGACUACAGAAAAGCCAGUUGGCCAGGUAAAGCAGUCUAAAAGACCAUGCAGGUUCUGGAGCUUUCUGAGGGACCUUUUUGGGCUAAUGAAGCAGAUGAUGGACUUUCAGAGGAACACAGUGACGGCGUGCCCUCGGAGACCGUCUCAGCCUAACGCACCGGGUGUAGGACAGACGUGCUGUCUGGCCACACAACCAGGACAAGUCCUGGCCCACGGACCUGACGGACCUCAGCAAAACUGCCAUGCUUUAGCUCAGCCAGCCACACAGCAGAAAGAGGAGGCGCACCAGCCCAUGUGCUUAAAGCACUACUGGUCCCAGGAGAUAGCAGAGCUUCCUCGACCCAUCCAGCAUCCAGGAAGUCCCACUCCAGAGCUCCGCCCUCAUCAGUGCAACACAACACAAUGGCCAGACACCUGGGUGUGGACACUUCCAUGCUCCGUAGAGCCAUCUGGAACUAUAUUCAGGGCAAGUUUGGGAUUCGGUCCAAGGCCAGGUGAAUCAUUAAAAAAAAGAAACACACUUCCACUUGUAUGUACGGAAUACGAUACGAUGACUACGGCUACAGCAGUGGGCGGUUUAACAUACGCUUCUGGCAUGUGUGCGCUGAGAUGCUGGACCAGAGGAGGACAGACAUGCUACGGCCCCUAUUUGUCAGAAGGGAGUUGGUGA